CCCCGGGAAAGGAAAAGAAAGUGUUUGACUCCUAGGGGCAGGGUAAUUUACCAUUGCCGUUGAAACGGGUGCUUGGUGCUUGGUACAGUGGAUCCUCCGGAUGAGCGUUCGAGGGCAAGUUAUGCUGCACGCCAAAGGGAGCGACAGAUAGAGUGAGAGGGAUGAGAAAGACACCGUAUGUGCGACUGUUUCAUGCAGACAGAUUGAUCGUCUCGAUCUUUUAAAAGAUGCUGAAGGACGCUGCUUCACUAGCAACCCUACUGUCUGAUCUUUAGUUAAUGUUUUCGAGUUGCGCGUGAAGACACACAGGACCUGCGGCUGCCUACACAAAGAUCAACAAUCCAUCUGUCAACAACUAUAACAACACGUACAACGUACACUGGGCCACAGGUUCAAAGCGACGCGGCAGCACGUACCGUGCGCGCGGGUGUGCAGUAGUAAUUCGAGAUACUACACUACAAAAGGCACCUAAACUGAUGACGCAGCAGUUAAGCGAACGGUAGCCAAACACUGGAUGCGUACACCGCGAGUGAAUCGAAUCGGCAACACCACCUCAAUGGAAACGGCGCGAGCACGCACACCGACGAUCGGGGAAUCGACGAGAUAAACAACAGCGCGAUCAUCGCGUUGAAGCGUAGAAACACACAAUCCGCAGGAGAACACCAACACCACCGAUCGAUGCCGCGUACCGACGAAAGAUUUAUCUUCUUCCAAGGCGGUUCGGCGUGUGUAGUUGUGUUGGCGAUGAUACGCGCUGUACAUCGUGGAAGAGCUCCACGUACUGCUUAAUAAACCGCUAAAAGGCACAAGUCUUCAUACACCUGAUUAAGACGCGAUACGCUAUCGAACAAUGGUCUA